rnacentral:rRNA from 1 species
AGCUGCGGCUAACUACGUGCCAGCAGCCGCGGUAAUACGUAGGCGGCAAGCGUUGUUCGGAAUUACUGGGCGUAAAGGGUGCGUAGGCGGCUUUUUAAGUUUGGUGUGAAAUCUCCCGGCUCAACUGGGAGGGUGCGCCUAAUACUGCGGGGCUUGACUGUGGGAUAGGAGAGUGGAAUUCCUGGUGUAGCGGUGAAAUGCGUAGAUAUCAGGAGGAACACCUGUGGUGAAGACGGCUUUCUGGACCAUUACUGACGCUGAUACACGAAAGCCUGGGUAGCAAACAGGAUUAGAUACCCUGGUAGUCCACGCCCUAAACGAUGCAUAUUUGGUGUGGGCCGUUCAUUUUGUCUGUGCCGGAGCUAACACGUUAAAUAUGCCCCCUGGGGAGUACAGUCCCGAGGCUGAAACUCACAGGAGUUGAC